UACGGAGGGAGCUAGCGUUGUUCGGAAUUACUGGGCGUAAAGCGCACGUAGGCGGCUUUGUAAGUUAGAGGUGAAAGCCCGGGGCUCAACCCCGGAAUUGCCUUUAAGACUGCAUCGCUUGAAUCCGGGAGAGGUGAGUGGAAUUCCGAGUGUAGAGGUGAAAUUCGUAGAUAUUCGGAAGAACACCAGUGGCGAAGGCGGCUCACUGGACCGACAUUGACGCUGAGGCGCGAAAGCCAGGGGAGCAAACGGG
rnacentral:rRNA from 1 species